rnacentral:rRNA from 1 species
GACGUAGGGCGCGAGCGUUGUCCGGAUUUAUUGGGCGUAAAGAGCUCGUAGGCGGUUUGUCGCGUCUGCCGUGAAAGUCCGGGGCUCAACUCCGGAUCUGCGGUGGGUACGGGCAGGCUAGAGUGUGGUAGGGGAGAUCGGAAUUCCUGGUGUAGCGGUGAAAUGCGCAGAUAUCAGGAAGAACACCUAUGGCGAAAGCAGCUCUCUGGGACGGUACUGACGCUGAGACGCGAAAGCGUGGGGAGCGAACAGG